CAAUGCGACCCCAGGUCAGGCGGGGCUACCCGCUGAGUUAAGCAUAUCAAUAAGCGGA
rnacentral:rRNA from 1 species